rnacentral:rRNA from 1 species
AGGGUUUGAUUAUGGCUCAGAACGUACGCUAGCGGUGUGGAUUAGGCAUGCAAGUCGUGCGCGAAAGCCUUCGGGCGAGUAAAGCGGCGAAAGGGUGAGUAACACGUAACCAACGUACCCCUCAGAUCGGAAUAACCUCUGGAAACGGUGGGUAAUGCCGAAUGGUCCCAGGAGAGACAUCUCUCCGAGGGUAAACGGUGCCUUCGGGUGCUGCUGAGGGAGCGGGUUGCGGCCUAUCAGUUUGUUGGUGGGGUAACGGCCUACCAAGACGAUGACGGGUAGCGGGUCUGAGAGGAUGAUCCGUCACACUGGGACUGAGACACUGCCCAGACUCCUACGGGAGGCUGCAGUCGAGAAUCUUCCACAAUGGGCGAAAGCCUGAUGGAGCGACACCGCGUGCAGGAUGAAGGCCUUAGGGUUGUAAACUGCUGUCACGCUAUAGGAACCCAUGGUCGUUAAUAGCGGCCGUGCUGACCAAAGCGAGAGGAAGCGCCGGCUAACUCCGUGCCAGCAGCCGCGGUAAUACGGAGGGCGCAAGCGUAGUUCGGAUUUACUGGGCAUAAAGAGCACGUAGGCGGCUCGCUCAGUCAGGUGUGAAAGCCCACGGCUCAACCGUGGAACUGCACCUGAUACUGGCGAGCUUGAGGACGGAAGGGGUGAGUGGAACUCCAGGUGGAACGGUGAAAUGUAUAGAUAUCUGGAGGAACACCGGUGGCGAAAGCGGCUCACUGGUCCGUCUCUGACGCUGAGGUGCGAAAGCUAGGGUAGCGAACGGGAUUAGAUACCCCGGUAGUCCUAGCCGUAAACGAUGGGCACUAGGCAAUGGGCCCUCCUAUGAGGUUCAUUGCCGGAGCUAAUGUGUUAAGUGCCCCGCCUGGGG